rnacentral:rRNA from 1 species
ACGCUCGACACCUACGGGAGGGCAGCAGUAGGGAAUCUUCCACAAUGGGCGCAAGCCUGAUGGAGCAACACCGCGUGAGUGAAGAAGGGUUUCGGCUCGUAAAGCUCUGUUGUUGGAGAAGAACGUGCGUGAGAGUAACUGUUCACGCAGUGACGGUAUCCAACCAGAAAGUCACGGCUAACUACGUGCCAACAGCCGCGGUAAUCUGAGCGGGCUGGCAAGGC